CAAUUGAAAUGAUGCUCAACCUUGCCCCACUUCCCUCAAGACUGAGUUGGUGUGGAUUUGGCAAAAUGCUGAGAACCCCCACAAAGGGGUUUGAAUGAGGAGGCCCCCACAAAGGAGCAGCUGAUGUGAAGCUUACCAGACCUAUGCUGACACCAAAGCCAGGAAUGCACUGCAGAUCAAGGGACUCAGUAGAUACCAGCAGCAACAAAGCACUCCUUCAUGCUGGAGACAGAAACCAGGAGUGAUGAGACGGGAAAAGGGACCAAACCACAGGGUCCUGAGUUUCAGCCUUUGGGGCACACUGACCAGGGCACCUCUGCCCUUAGAACCACAGACAGCAGUAUGACCACACCUGGGGAUGUGUGGUGGCCUGGAAAUAGCAUCGUCCUCUGCUCAGUGCAACACCCAUGCUUUUAAACAUCCCAUGCUUCAAGGAGAUAGAUAAGAAGUGCUCUGUGACUGCACGCCAAAGCCCAGGUCAAGCCCAGAUCAAACCCAGGAGUGUAGGUCAAAGCCCAGGAGGUUUUGUAUGGGUCAAAGACCAGAAGAGAGCAGGUGCAAGCAGAAGAAAGGCUGGGAUCCUGGAACUAGAGCUCAGAGAUUGAGGGGGAGGCUAGAGAGAAGCUGAGGUAGUAGAUAAGGCAAAGCAGCAUGAGGCACCUCAUGUUCCCUUAGAAACAUAAUGUGAUACUCCUCGCUCUGGGAAAUGGGGCCUGGGUGGGGUCUCCAAGAGACAUCAUGGUGCAUAUGUGAAGGCAGAAACCACUCUGAGGAAGAAACACCUAUUUUAGGCCUGUGGCAAGUGGCUGCUAUAAGCCAAAGUCUAUCAUCGUCUGUCAUUUUGACCACAGAGGUGGUAGGAGGACAGAGUUUGACUUGAGGACUGUGUAGAAUGA